AGGCAUUAUGGACAGGAGAUGGUGAAGAUGUUGCUCAAUCAUCAAAAAUUUAAAAUGCUUUUGGAACGAUCUCUUUCCACCUGUGACCUGGAGGAUAUUCUGACAAGAAUGAAGAAGAAAGGGAUGGAAAACCAGAAGGCUGAACGCCCAUCUGUCAAGGAGCUGGUGAAGAAGAGGAACGAUGGCUCCAAGAAGCCCCAGGCCACAUUGUCUUCUAGCAAAUGAGUGAAAUCUACCUCUGAUGGAUGCCUCCUACACCGUGCACAAGCCCAGGUCACGUUACCUCCGGUUGAGGAAGAAACGGAGCUGCUCCAGAAGCUUUACAAUCUCCUGGAGGCCAAGGGGUUUCAGACGCGCAUGGAAGGAGUGUCACUCCUCCAAGACUUGUGCAAAACUAGCCCCCAGCUCAUCUCCACUAACAUUGUCCAAAUUUUUGAAUAUUUUGUCCUGAGAAUAUCUGACAGCCACAAGAAAGUGAAGCAGAAGGCGCUGGAUGUGCUGGUAGAAAUCACAGGCGUCCUGAAAGAUGCCUUGAACCCGGUGAUCAUUGGUUUGGUGGAAGGAAUAACGAAGAACCUGAACUCCAAGGAUCCCAGGGUUCGUGCCGCAGCUGUGAAAGCGCUGGAAGAAUCCAUUGCUCAUUUAGGUAAGGCUGAGCCCUGGCAUGGACUCUCCUCACCUGUGUCUCUGUCUCUCCGACACAAGAGAGUGCUGAGUGCCUUGAUAGCUGCUGUUGUCUGUGGAAAGCUCCAGCUGGCAUC